UUGAACGCUGGNGGCAUGCCUUACACAUGCAAGUCGAACGGCAGCACGGGGGCAACCNUGGUGGNGAGUGGCGAACGGGUGAGUAAUACAUCGGAACGUGUCCUGUAGUGGGGGAUAGCCCGGCGAAAGCCGGAUUAAUACCGCAUACGAUNUACGGAAGAAAGCGGGGGAUCGCAAGACCUCGCGCUAUAGGGGCGGCNGAUGGCAGAUUAGNUAGUUGGUGGGGUAAAGGCCUACCAAGGNGACGAUCUGUAGCUG
rnacentral:rRNA from 1 species